rnacentral:rRNA from 1 species
UUUGAUUCUGGCUCAGAUUGAGCAUGGCGGGAUGCUACACAUGCAAGUCGAACGGCACGGACUUCGGUCUGGUGGCGAGUGGCGAACGGGUGAGUAAUGUAUCGGAACGUGCCUAGUAGCGGGGGAUAACUACGCGAAAGCGUAGCUAAUACCGCAUACGCCCUUCGAGGAAAGCGGGGGACCUUCGGGCCUCGCACUAUUAGAGCGGCCGAUAUCGGAUUGAAAGCUGGUUGAAUGGGGUAACGGCUCACCAAGGCGACGAUCCGUAGCUGGUUUGAAGGGACGACCAGCCACACUGGGACUGAGACACGGCCCGACUCCUACGGGGAGGCAGCAGUGGGGAAUUUUGGACAAUGGGAAACCCUGAUCCAGCCAUCCCGCGUGUGCGAUGAAGGCCUUCGGGUUGUAAAGCACUUUUGGCAGGAAAGAAACGGCACGGGAUAAUACCUGAUGCAAUGACGAUACAGAAUAAGCACCGGCUAACUACGUGCCAGCAGCCGCGGUAAUACGUAGAGGUGCAAUAAUCGGAAUUACUGGGCGUAAAGCGUGCGCAGGCGGUUCGGAAAGAAAGAUGUGAAAUCCCAGAGCUUAACUUUGGAACUGCAUUUUUAACUACCGAGCUAGAGUGUGUCAGGAGGUGGAAUUCCGCGUGUAGCAGUGGAGAAUGCGUAGAUAUGCGGAGGAACACCGAUGGCGAAGGCAGCCUCUGGGAUAACACUGACGCUCAUGCACGAAAGCGUGGGAGCAAACAGGAUUAGAUACCCUGGUAGUCCACGCCCUAAACGAUGUCAACUAGCUGUUGGGGCCUUCGGGCCUUGGUAGCGCAGCUAACGCGUGAAGUUGACCGCCUGGGGAGUACGGUCCUGCAAGAUUAAAACUCAAAGGAAUUGACGGGGACCCGCACAAGCGGUGGAUGAUGUGGAUUAAUUCGAUGCAACGCCAAACCUACCCUUGACAUGUCUGGAAUCCCGAAGAGAUUUGAGUGCUCGCAAGAGAACCGGAACACAGGUGCUGCAUGGCUGUCGUCAGCUCGUGUCGUGAGAUGUUGGGUUAAGUCCCGCAACGAGCGCAACCCUUGUCAUUAGUUGCUACGAGGGCACUCUAAUGAGGUUUUGCCGGUGACAAACCGGAGGAAGGUGGGGAUGACGUCAAGUCUCCGUAGCCCUUAUGGGUAGGGCUUCACACGUCAUACAAUGGUCGGGACGGAGAGAGAUUAACCAGCCUUGAGAACCAAUCCCAGAAACCCGAUCGUAGUCCGGAUCUGGUCUGCAACUCGACUGCGUGAAGUCGGAAUCGCUGGUAAUCGCGGAUCAGCAUGUCGCGGUGAAUACACGUUCGGGUCUUGUACACCGCUACGUCACACCAUGGAAUUGGGUUUUACCAGAAGUAGUUAGUCUAACCGUAAAGGAGGGCGAUUACCACGGUAGGAUUCAUGACUGAGGUGAAGUCGGCAACAGGUAG